GCCAGUGUUACUGUGGUGACCGCCAGAGCAGCCUUCGCGCUAUGGAGGAGCCCGGUGCUACCCCUCAGCCCUACCUGGGGCUGGUCCUGGAGGAGCUACGCAGAGUUGUGGCAGCACUACCUGAGAGUAUGACGGCAGAUUCGAAUCCUUAUGGUUUUCCAUGGGAACUGGUGGUAUGUGCAGCUGUUGUUGGAUUUUUUGUUGUUCUCCUUUUUUUGUGGAGAAGUUUUAGAUCGGUUAGGAGUCGGCUUUAUGUGGGAAGAGAGAAAAAACUUGGUGAAACGCUUUCUGGACUAAUUGAAGAAAAAUGUAAACUACUUGAAAAAUUUAGCCUUAUUCAAAAAGAGUAUGAAGGCUAUGAAGUAGAGUCAUCUUUAGAGGAUGCCAGCUUUGAGAAGGCGGUAGCAGAAGCACGAAGUUUGGAGGCAACCUGUGAAAAGCUGAACAGGUCCAAUUCUGAACUUGAGGAUGAAACCCUCUGUCUAGAAAAAGAGUUAAGGGAAAUCUAAACAUUCUCAACAAGAUGAAUUGAUGGCGGAUAUUUCUAAAAGGAUACAAUCUCUAGAAGAUGAGUCAAAAUCCCUCAAAUCACAAAUAGCUGAAGCCAAAAUCAUCUGCAAGAUUUUUCAAGCGACUGAAGAACGAUGGGCAAUAGCAAUAAAAGAUGCUUUGAAUAAAAAUUCUCAACUUCACGAAAGCCAGAAACAGCUUUUGCAAGAAGCUGAAGUAUGGAAAGAACAAGUGAGUGAACUUAAUAAACAGAAAAUAACAUUUGAAGACUCCAAAGUACAUGCAGAACAAGUUCUAAAUGAUAAAAUCACAUCAAGACCCUGACUGGACACUUGCCAAUGAUGAACGAUCAGGCUGCUGUGCUUGAAGAAGACACAACGGAUGAUGAUAACUUGGAAUUAGAAGUGAACAGUCAAUCGGAAAAUGGUGCUUAUUUAGAUGAUCCUCCAAAAGGAGCUUUGAAGAAACUGAUUCAUGCUGCUAAGUUAAAUGUUUCUUUAAAAACCUUAGAAGGAGAAAGAAACCACAUUAUUAUUCAGUUAUCUGAAGUGGACAAAACAAAGGAAGAGCUUACAGAGCAUAUUAAAAAUCUUCAGACUCAACAAGCAUCUUUGCAGUCAGAAAACAUAUAUUUUGAAAGUGAGAAUCAGAAGCUUCAACAGAAACUUAAAAUAAUGACUGAAUUAUAUCAAGAAAAUGAAAUGACACUCCACAGGAAAUUGACAAUAGAGGAAAAUUACUGGAUAGAGGAAGAAGAGAAGCUUUCUAAAGUGGAAGAAAAGAUCAGCCAUGCCACUGAAGAGCUGGAGACCUAUAGAAAGCUAGCCAAAGAUCUUGAAGAAGAAUUGGAGAGAACUGUUCAUUUUUAUCAAAAGCAGGUUAUUUCCUACGAGAAAAAAGGACAUGAUAAUUGGUUGGCAGCUCGGACUGCUGAAAGAAACCUCAAUGAUUUAAGGAAAGAAAAUGCUCACAACAAACAAAAAUUAACUGAAACAGAGUUUAAAUUUGAAGUUUUAGAAAAAGAUCCUAAUGCACUUGAUGUUUCAAAUACAGCAUCUGGCAGAGAGCAUUCCCCAUAUGGUCCCUCACCAUUGGGUCGGCCUUCAUCUGAAACGAGGACUUCUCUCUCCUCAAACUUUGUUGGAGGAUCCACUCAGACUCUCACCUGUGCUUCCAGCGGGAGGAGGAAGAAGCCCAAGCGGCCGAGAGAAUCCUCUGGACCAUCAGAUUACCAAUGAAAGAGGAGAACCAAGCUGUGAUAGGUUAACUGAUCCUCACAGAGCUCCUUCUGACACUGGGUCCCUGUCAUCUCCAUGGGAACAGGACCAUAGGAUGAUGUUUCCUCCACCAGGACAAUCAUAUCCUGAUUCAGCUCUUCCUCCACAAAGGGAAGACAGAUUUUAUUCUAAUUCUGAUAGACUGCCUGGACCAUCAGAACUCAGAAGUUUUAAUAUGCCUUCUUUGGAUAAAAUGGAUGGGUCAAUGCCUUCAGAAAUGGAAUCCACUAGACAUGAUGCCAAAGAUGAUCCUGGUAGUUUAAAUGUGCCUGAUUCAUCUCUCCCUGCUGAAAAUGAAGCAACUGGCCCCGGCUUUAUUCCUCCACCUCUUGCUCCAAUCAGUGGUCCAUUGUUUCCAGUGGACACAAGGUGCCCGUUCAUGAGAAGAGGACCUCUUUUCCCCCAACCUCCUCCAGGAACGAUGUUUGGAGCUUCACAAGGUUAUUUUCCACCAAGGGAUUUCCCAGGUCCACCACAUGUUCCAUUUGCAAUGAGAAACAUCUGUCCACUGAGGGGUUUACCUCCUUACUUUCAUCCAAGACCUGGAUUUUACCCCAACCCCACAUUCUGAAGGUAGAAGCGAGUUCCCUUCAUGGUUGAUUCUGCCUUUAAAGGAGCCUGCUACUGAACAUCCAGAACCACAGCAAGAAACCUGACAAUAUUUUUGCUUUCUUCAAAAGUAAUUUUGACUGAUCUCAUUUUCAGUUUAAGUAACUGCUGUUACUUAAGUGAUUACACUUUUCUCAAAUUGAAGUUUAAUGGAAUUGUAGUUCUCAGGAUAGUAUUUUGUAAAUAAAGAUGGUUUAAAUAUGAAUAAAAAAUAAAAAAUAUCUAUUCUACAA